CUUCAGACCACUGGUGUUCCUAUCCGGGCCAGUAAGAGAGCUCAGAUCAACAUCCUCAUCAACAGAAUCGGUGGCUUUCCGAAAACCAAAUCCCUAAACGAGACCAUCUUCCCUGUCAUGUUUAUCAAUGAGACGGUAGUGAUUGACGACGUGUC